AUUGAACGCUGGCGGCAUGCUUUACACAUGCAAGUCGAACGGUAACAGGCCUUCGGGUGCUGACGAGUGGCGAACGGGUGAGUAAUGCAUCGGAACGUACCCAGAGGUGCGGGAUAACGCAGCGAAAGCUGUUCUAAUACCGCAUGUGAUGUGAGGAUGAAAGCGGGGGACCGAGCAGCAAUGUUUGGCCUCGUGCCUUUGGAGCGGCUGAUGUCGGAUUAGCUAGUUGGGGGGGUAGAGGCCUACCAAGGCGACGGUCCGUAGCUGGCCUGAGAGGAGGGCGAGCGACACUACGACGAAGGAGCGGCCGCGCAUCCUCCGGGAGGCAGCAGUGGGGAAUUAUGGAGCACGGGGGGAGGCAUGCUGCAGCAGUGCCGCGUGGGGGGAGAAGGCGUUCUGGUGGUAGUCAGCUUUUGGCAGGAGUGAAGCGGUGUUCGCUAAUAUCUGGGGGUGAUGACGGUACCUGGAGAAGAAGCACCGGCUAACUACGUG
rnacentral:rRNA from 1 species